rnacentral:rRNA from 1 species
UACGUAGGGAGCAAGCGUUGUCCGGAAUCAUUGGGCGUAAAGCGCGCGUAGGCGGCCUCAUAAGUCCGUUGUGAAAGUCAAAGGCUCAACCUUUGAAAGCCGAUGGAUACUGUGAGGCUAGAGUCCGGAAGAGGCGAGUGGAAUUCCUGGUGUAGCGGUGGAAUGCGUAGAGAUCCGGAAGAACACCGGUGGCGAAGGCGGGUCUCUGGGCAAUAACUGACGCUGAGGAGCGAAAGCGUGGGGAGCGAACAGG